CCUGCUUCUCCCUCUGCCUGUGUCUCUGCCUCUCUGUGUCUCUCAUGAAUAAAUAAAUAAAAUCUUUAAAAAGAGAGAGAGACAGGAGAGGAGAACACAUGCAGGGAGAAGGCCAUGUGGACACAGAGGCAGAGACUGGAGUGAUGUGGUUGCAAGUCUAAGAAGGUCUGGAGCCCCCACAGGCUGGGAGAGGCCAGUAAGUAUCCCCCGUAGAGCCAUUAGUGGGAGCAUGAUCCCUCUGACACCUUGUUCCUGAGUAUCUGGCCUCAAGAAAGAGGAGAAUAGAUUCCUGGGGUUAAAGCCACACAGUCUUUGGUGACUUGUUACAACAGCUCCAUGGAACUGUCCCCCCACCAAGCACCCUUCGCCUUGAAUCCUCCAUUCAACCCUUGUGCUCUAUUUUUUUAUACUUCUAUUUGUCACUAAAAGUGCACAUAGGGCACCUGGGUGGCUCAGUCGGUUAAGUGUCUGACUCUUGAUCUCAGCUCUUUUUUUUUUUUUAAGAUUGUAUUUAUUUAUUCAUGAGAGACACAGAGGGAGAUGUAGAGACCUAGGCAGAGGGAGAAGCAGGCUCCACGCAGAAAGCCCGACUCGGAACUUGAUUCCAGGACCCCAGGAUCACACCCUGGGCUGAAGGCAGGUGCCAAACCGCUGAGCCACCCAGGCAUCCCUCAGCUCAGGUCUUGAUCUCAGGAUUAUGAGUUUAAGCCCCACGUUGGGCUCCAUUCGUAUAAAAAAAGUGCGUAUAUUUUUUAGUUGGAUUGUGUUUAACUUUAUAAAGGUCAUCAGGCUAUCUGUGAUCUUAGAGGGACUUACUCUUUUUCAGGUGGUGAUUCUAUUUCUGAGCUGAGGCCACUUUGACAUCCAUCCCUCAGGGCAUGCUUCUUGAUGGCUUUCUGACCUCAUUCAGCAUGGAGGUAGAUUCCAGGUUUGCCCGGCUAUGGACACCUCCAACACAUCCCUCAAUUGCUCUUGGGCAAAUCGCAGGGCACGUGAACAUUCCAUUGGCGGAGGAAGGACCAGCUGGCUUCAACACGGCCACCAUAACACACCAGGACCGUCACCCGGGAGCAGGGGGACGGACGACCAGCAAAGUCAUCCUGAAUCAAUAACUGGCGUAGCGUGUCAGGAGGUGACCAUAGAAUCAGAAGGGGAACGGACCUCAUCACACUCACAAGGACGAUCGUCGUCCAAAGUGGAAAAUAACAAGUGUUGUCAAGGAUGUGGAGAGACUGGAAGCCUCGUGCACCGCCGGUGGGAAUGCAAAACGGGGCAGUGGCCGUGGAAAGAAGUUUGGCGGGUCCUCAAAAAGUUAAACAUAGAAUUAUUUUAUGAGCCAGAAACUCUGCUUCUGGGUGUGUACCCAGAAUAAUUGAAUGUCGGGUCUCAAAGAGAUUCUUGUACAUGUAUGUUCACAGCAGCAUCGCCCAAAGGUAGAAACACCCCAAGUGUCCAGAAACAGAGGCGUGGAUAAACACUGUGGUCCAUGCACACGGAGGAAUGUUUCUCAGCCAUAAAGAGCACUGAAGCUCUGAUACAUGUCAUAUCAUGGAUGAACCUCGAAAACAUCGUGCCGAGGGAAAAAAGCCAGAUACAAAAGGGCACAUCGUGUGUGAUUCCAUGUGUAUGGAAUGUCCAGAACAGACAAACCCAUGGACACAGAGAGCAGGUUAGUGGGUGCCAGGGGCUGGGGGAGGGGGAGCUGGAUGACAGCUAAUUGGGAUGGGGCAUUUGUGUGGGACCAAUAACAAUUAUCCGAGGGGUAUCUGGGUGGCUGCUCAGUCAGUUGACUGGCCAAAUCUUGAUUUUGGCUCAGGUCAUGAUCUCAGGGUCAUGAGAUCCAGUCCUGAGCCAGGCUCCAUACUGUAAGAGUCUGCUUGAGAUUUUCUCUCUCUCUCUCCCUGUGCCCCUCCCCCUGCUUGGGUGCUCUCUCUCUCUCUCUCUCUAAAAUAAAUAAAUAAAUCUUUUAAAAAAUCA
ensembl:lncRNA